AGCAUCUGAAAUGAAGUAGGACC
rnacentral:rRNA from 1 species